rnacentral:lncRNA from 1 species
AAAAUAGCAUCUUUCUAAGUUUAUCCUUUGAAAAUUUUAUUUUUUUUAUUUUUCAAAAUUUGAAAUCUUAUCCCCAAAACCUCAAUUCUCAACUCUAAACCCUAAACCCUAAACUCUAAACCGUAAAUCCUAAACUCUAAACCCUAAACCUUAAACAAUAAACCCUAAACCCUAAACCCUAAACCCUAAACCCUAAAAUCUAAACCCUAAACCCUAAAUCCUAAACAUCACCCUUUAACUCUA